rnacentral:rRNA from 3 species
ACGGGUGCGGAACACGUACGCAACCUUCCUUUAAGUGAGGGAUAGCUUUCGGAAACGAAAAUUAAUACCUCGUAAGAUUGUGAGAUGGCAUCAUCUUAUAAUUAUAGCUCCGGCGCUUAAAGAUGGGCGUGCGCCUGAUUAGGUAGUUGGCGGAGUAACAGCCCACCAAGCCUACGAUCAGUAACUGGUGUGAGAGCACGACCAGUCACACGGGCACUGAGACACGGGCCCGACUCCUACGGGAGGCAGCAGUAAGGAAUAUUGGUCAAUGGACGCAAGUCUGAACCAGCCAUGCCGCGUGGAGGAUGAAGGUCCUCUGGAUUGUAAACUUCUUUUAUCGGAGAAGAAACCCCGGAAUUCUUUCUGGGUUGACGGUACCCGAUGAAUAAGCACCGGCUAACUCCGUGCCAGCAGCCGCGGUAAUACGGAGGGUGCAAGCGUUAUCCGGAUUCACUGGGUUUAAAGGGUGCGUAGGUGGGUUGGUAAGUCAGUGGUGAAAUCUCCAAGCUUAACUUGGAAACUGCCGUUGAUACUAUCAAUCUUGAAUCUCGUGGAGGUAAGCGGAAUAUGUCAUGUAGCGGU